UACAGAGGGUGCAAGCGUUGUCCGGAAUUACUGGGCGUAAAGGGCGCGUAGGCGGCCCGAUAAGUAGGGGGUGAAAUUUCGUGGCUCAACCACGAAACUGCCUUCUAGACUGUCAGGCUUGAGCACGGUAGAGGCAGAUGGAAUUCCCGGUGUAGCGGUGGAAUGCGUAGAGAUCGGGAAGAACACCAGUGGCGAAGGCGGUCUGCUGGGCCGUUGCUGACGCUGAUGCGCGACAGCGUGGGGAGCAAACAGG
rnacentral:rRNA from 1 species